CACACACAAAAAAAAGCACCUUCAUACAAAGAAAAAUCAGGCCUGGAACAGAUCAGCCUCCCUGCAGGAAUCAACUGAGAAAGAAUUAAUGACACUUUCGAAAGCUUUAAAUUCCAAUGAGAAAUUGAAGCCCUGGGAAUAUCUGCCUCAACAUUUUAUAGGGUGUAUGCCUGCAGUCAGUGAGAAGCACGAGGAUAUUCCGUUCCUUAUAUGUUCUGAGACAGCUGAUAACAGAAUGAAGGGGGAUUUUCUUAAAGCAUCCAUGACCCUAACAAGGAAACUGGAAGUUGCAUUCUAUUGAUCCAAGGCUAAGAAGGAAUUAAGUUGCCAUCAGAUCAAAUUCCGGCAAAGCGUCUGGAAGAGACCUGGUUGAAGAUAAUAUUGAUGAGUCUUAAAAAAAAAUGCCAGCAUUUCUACUCAUGUUUUAACAAAAAUUGGAGAGUCUAGAUUCACCCAUGAAAAGCUCUUCCUUCUCGGCUUCAAGACAUCCUAUAUAAAGGGGAAAGAAACAAACAAAAAGCUACUUCAAAGUUGAAGGAUUUGUGGAGAAUUCUUCAACUUACCCUCUCAGAGUACCUCCUGUACAACUCAAUUUAUAAAAUAAAACCUGUCAGAAAAUUC
rnacentral:lncRNA from 1 species